CCAAAAUAUAAAUUGAAAAUUGAAUGUCAAAAUAGUCCAUGCUGAAUUGGUGAUUUGUUGGUAACCAAAAUCUUUUUGCGUUCAUUCCAUAAAUCUCCAAAUGUAGUGAAUUGAAAAAACAAGUUGCAAGAUUUAAACUUUGGCAAAGCCAAGCUGUUACUAUAGCCAGUUCAGAGAAUAUACUAUCAGAAAUGGUAAGUUAUAACGAAAUAGAAUAAGCACUCUCUAUCUGGUACAGUAGCUGCAGUUCACCAACAAGGAGUUCCCCCACCCUUGUGAAAUAUAAAUCAGUACAAACAAAACCAGGUGAAGAGCGCUGGAGCUUCAAAUUACAUACGUAGAAGGAGAGGGCGGUAUCUUAAGGAAAAAGAACACAAUAAUAGUGCAGCAUAUUAACAAAAUAGUGCCAAAAGGGGGGAACACUCACACUUUAUGGAGCUAUAUAAGCUCUAUUUCAUGGGCCUGGACGGAAUAAUCCCAGUCUAAGGAUAUCUUUAUAGUUGUCAGCAGUGCUUGACUCUCAAGUGGAUAAAAGGUCACCAUACAUAAAGAGAAAAUAAAAAAAAAUCCAAUUGUGACCGUAAUUGUAAAAGGAUAAAACCUACUUAUGAUCUAGAGCAGGGGUUCUCAAACGUUUAAACAGGGGGCCAGUUCACGGUCCCUCAGACACUGGGGGCCGGACUAUAAAAAAUAUUAACGAAUUCCUAUGCACACUGCACACACGCAUAAGGAC